CCUGAAAUGGGCCCCCGGCUCUUCUUCUAUGUGGGCCUUUGUCUCCUCACAGCAGGACACACGGAUGCUGGAAUCACCCAGAACCCAAGAUUCAGGGUCACAGAGACAGGAAAGCAGGUGACACUGAGAUGCCACCAGACUGACAAGUACGACUAUAUGUACUGGUAUCGACAAGACCUGGGACGUGGGCUGAGGCUGAUCCAUUACUCAUACGGUGUUCAAAGAACUGACAAAGGAGAAUUCUCUGAAGGCUACAAUGUCUCUAGAUCAGACAUGGAGGAUUUCCCCCUCACGCUGGAGUCAGCUACCCCCUCCCAGACAUCUGUGUACUUCUGCGCCAUCAGUGACUCCACAGCGCUGCACGGCUGCCUCCUCGCUGCACAUAAAGAGCA